UAGGGAAUCUUCGGCAAUGGGGGGAACCCUGACCGAGCAACGCCGCGUGAGUGAAGAAGGUUUUCGGAUCGUAAAGCUCUGUUGUUAAGGAAGAACGAGUGUGAGAAUGGAAAGUUCAUACUGUGACGGUACUUAACCAGAAAGGGACGGCUAACUACGUGCCAGCAGCCGCGGUAAUACGUAGGUCCCGAGCGUUGUCCGGAUUUAUUGGGCGUAAAGCGAGCGCAGGCGGUUAGAUAAGUCUGAAGUUAAAGGCAGUGGCUCAACCAUUGUAGGCUUUGGAAGCUGUUUAACUUGAGUGCAGAAGGGGAGAGUGGAAUUCCAUGUGUAGCGGUGAAAUGCGUAGAUAUAUGGAGGAACACCGGUGGCGAAAGCGGCUCUCGGGUCUAUAACUGACGCUGAGGCUAGAAAGCGUGGGGAGCGAACAGG
rnacentral:rRNA from 1 species